GACGAACGCUGGCGGCAUGCUUAACACAUGCAAGUCGAACGGAAUAUGGGUGCUUGCAUCCAUGUUUAGUGGCAAACGGGUGAGUAACACGUGGGAACUUACCCUUCAGAGCGGGACAAGCACUGGAAACGGUGUCUAAUACCGCAUACGCCCUCAGGGGGAAAGGAGAAAUCCGCUGAAGGAGAGGCCCGCGGCAGAUUAGGUAGUUGGUGGGGUAAAGGCCUACCAAGCCGUUGAUCUGUAGAUGGUUUGAGAGGAUGAUCAGCCACACUGGAACUGAGUCACGGUCCAGACUCCUACGGGAGGCAGCAGUGGGGAAUGUUGGACAAUGGGGCCAACCCUGAUCCAGCCAUGCCGCGUGAGUGAAGAAGGCCUUCGAGUUGUAAAGCUCUUUCGGCCGGGAAGAAAAGCUCGGGCAUAACACUCCCGGGUCUGGACGUUACCUAAAGAAGAAGCACCGGCUAACUC
rnacentral:rRNA from 1 species